rnacentral:rRNA from 1 species
GACGAACGCUGGCGGCGUGCCUAAUACAUGCAAGUCGAGCGGACUGAAUGGGAGCUUGCUCUUGUUCGGUCAGCGGCGGACGGGUGAGUAACACGUGGGCAACCUGCCCGCAAGACCGGGAUAACUCCGGGAAACCGGAGCUAAUACCGGAUAACACCGAAGACCGCAUGGUCUUUGGUUGAAAGGCGGCGCAAGCUGCCACUUGCGGAUGGGCCCGCGGCGCAUUAGCUAGUUGGUGAGGUAACGGCUCACCAAGGCGACGAUGCGUAGCCGGCCUGAGAGGGUGACCGGCCACACUGGGACUGAGACACGGCCCAGACUCCUACGGGAGGCAGCAGUAGGGAAUCUUCCGAAAUGGGCGAAAGCCUGACGGAGCGACGCCGCGUGAGCGAAGAAGGCCGUCGGGUCGUAAAGCUCUGUUGUGAGGGACGAAGGAGCGCCGUUUGAAGAAGGCGGCGCGGUGACGGUACCUCACGAGGAAGCCCCGGCUAACUACGUG